rnacentral:lncRNA from 1 species
UUUUACAUCUCUCGAUCCAAAGGACUAUUUUUCCACACUAAUCUAAUCUUAUCACAUUUUUAUUUCUUUUAAUACUCAAAAUCCCCCCAAAAAAAAUCUAAACUUUUGAAUGGGUUAAAUAUAAAAUUUACUCCUAGUCACAUUUCUCUUAGAGGCUGUUUGGUUGUACGCAUUUGCAACUGCAGUGCAGCUGCAAAUGCGUGCAGCCACAAUUUCUUUGUUUGGUUUAGUGUAGUUGAGUUCAACUGCUGCAGUUCCAACUGCACAAGAAGGCCCAAAUGCUGCAGUUGGAACUACAUCAAAAUUGAUCGUAGUUCCAAUUGCAGCAGUUGGUGAGGGAUAGGAUCACCCACAAAUUAAGAAUAAU